AAUGAACGUUGGCGGCGUGGAUUAGGCAUGCAAGUCGAGCGCUCACCCGCAAGGGUGGGAGCGGCGAAAGGGAGAGUAACGCGUGGGUAUCUACCCUCGGGACUGGGAUAGCUGCGGGAAACUGCAGGUAAUACCAGAUGACGUCCCCGGACCAAAGGUGUGAUUCCGCCUGAGGAUGAGCCCGCGUCCUAUUAGCUUGUUGGUGGGGUAAUGGCCUACCAAGGCAAUGAUGGGUACUGGGUGUGAGAGCACGACCCAGCUCACUGGGACUGAGACACUGCCCAGACACCUACGGGUGGCUGCAGGCGAGAAUCUUCGGCAAUGGGCGAAAGCCUGACCGAGCGACGCCGCGUGUGGGAUGAAGGCCUUCGGGUUGUAAACCGCUGUCAGAGGGGAGGAAUGGGCGGAAGGUAAUCUCUUCGUUUUGACCUAUCCUCAGAGGAAGUACGGGCUAAGUUCGUGCCAGCCGCCGCGGUAAGAC
rnacentral:rRNA from 1 species